rnacentral:ncRNA from 18 species
UGAUAUGUUUGAUAUUGGGUUG